GAUGAACGCUGGCGGCGUGCUUAACACAUGCAAGUCGAACGGAAAGGCCCUGCUUUUGUGGGGUGCUCGAGUGGCGAACGGGUGAGUAACACGUGAGUAACCUGCCCUUGACUUUGGGAUAACUUCAGGAAACUGGGGCUCAUACCGGAUAGGAGCUCCUGCUGCAUGGUGGGGGUUGGAAAGUUUCGGCGGUUGGGGAUGGAUUCGCGGCUUAUGAGCUUGUUGGGGGGGUAGGGGCUUACCAAGGCUUUGACGGGUAGCCGGCCUGAGAGGGUGACCGGCCACAUUGGGACUGGGGUGCGGCCCAGACGCAUACGGGAGGCAGCAGUGGGGAAUAGUGCACAAUGGGCGGAAGCCUGAUGCAGCAACGCCGCGUGCGGGAUGACGGCCUUCGGGUUGUAAACCGCUUUCGCCUGUGACGAAGCGUGAGUGACGGUAAUGGGGAAAGAAGCACCGGCUAACUACGU
rnacentral:rRNA from 1 species